GUCUCUUUUUUGAAAUGUCAAAUCACUAACCUACAGAUUUUCCUAUUUGUUUUUACUUCGGUUUUUAGACAAUCUUUUUAGUCUGUGUAAUAAAAAUAUCAUCUGUGUAAUAUGAAAAGUAGUCUUUCUAAUAUCUAGAUUAUUUAUAUAAAUUAUAAUAACUGAAAUGUUUGUAAACAACUGAGACAUCAAAAAUUCAAUAAGACAGAGAAAAUUUUUAAUUAGUUAUUACUUACAUCACUCAAAAAUAGAUCCAGGUUUGUAACAAAAAAGUUAUUAUUAUGGACAAGUAUACUAUACCAAGUUUGCCCACCACACAACAUAUAUUGGACGAUUUAGCUGAUCCUACUACUAUUCAACUAGAUGAACUUAGAAACACAUCUUGUUCAGAAGACGAGAUUUUACAAAAUGUGAGUUUGUGUUAUAAAAAUUUUAAGCAAUUAGAAGAAGAUUUGUUAAAACAACAAGAAUUAAACAUGAAAUUAGAAGAAUUGAAUCGUAAGUUAGUGGAAAAUAUAGACAAUAUGAAGAAACAAACUUAGGUUUUCAACAAUGUGAUAAACUAUGAAGUGUCAUGUUUUAUGUAAAUCUGUUUGAAAUGAUAUCUUAAAUAGUUUAUUUUAUACAUUAUAGAUUAUUAAGAACUAAACCAAUCUUAAUUAUGAUUUUUGUUUACAAAUUAGUACUGGUCCAUAUUCUUUAGAAUGAUAAUCUAAAAUUUUAGUUCUAGAAACUUUUUACUUAUAUAAAUUUAAAUGCAACAAAACAAAAAGAUUCAAUUGUCAAAUAAAAUUAAUAUUUCCAUCAGCUACAAUUAUUUGGAUCUAACAAAAAUAAAAAUAACUUAUCAUUUUA
rnacentral:lncRNA from 1 species